UGCUAAGACAAUGUGUGUAUGGCAAAUGUAAUUUCCUAUUUUCUUAAUGUCUGUCUCCGUUCCUAUAGGACCAGUCACUGUGGGCGUGUCUCGCUGGCAUGGCAAUGGCCAAUAGGGAGAUGACGACAGUGGAGGUGGCCUACGCUGCCAUUGGAGAGGGCAUUGGAGCUGGCAGUAAAACAUAAGACCCAUGUGGACACAGUGCUGGCCUACAGACUCCAAGAUCCUGYAGGACUUUAGCAAGAAAGAGACCAACAAGAGGUUCAUGCAGUACGCUGACAGGUGGAGGUGAACUGGGAAAAGAUCCAGGCGAAGGUUAAGGAGAGAGAGAAGGCUGCCAUCACCUCUGUCAGGAGCAGCUUGGCCUCUCGACUCUGACCUCAUCCAGGGACCAAAUGUACAUCAUAUUUUCAAGUGGUCAUUUAUCAAACAUGACGCAGACCAGAAUCAAUUCAAGCAGAACUUUGAGAGCAAGCAUCCCAAGUCUCCAAUUGUCCCAAUACUGGUUGAUGUGCAGGCCUAAGUGACCACAUUCACUGAAAUGGACCUACAGCUUGGACACACGAUGACCACGAUUUGAAUGCUGCAACUGAGACUGCAUGAGGGACACACAGUGUAUGACUGGAUAUUUGUGACAACGACCUAAAAGGGCUGCAGAGGCACACCAGCCCCCAUUUUGUUUAUUCCACAGCCAAGCAUCCCUCUAGCUACCCCUUAUUCCACAGUGCCUUUUAUGCCCCAUGGUCCCUCAACAUCAGACAUUUUGGAACUCUCCAUCUUAUCUCUAUAAACCCACCCUAACUUCACCCAUUUUCUCUAUGCUGCUUCCUACAUUGGUUCUUCUCCUGAUUUGAUAACGUCUAGACUAAGUUACAAAGUGUUGUGGUGUACUGUUUUUGUUACUUUUUUUUCACCAGUGUAAUACUGUCCUGCUUAUUUUGUGGUUCAAACUGAAUGCAGUGGUAAAUGUUCUGCUCACAACUGACAUCAGCGAUAUGGGCCUGUUACAUUGACAAGAAGGGUGUUGAUAUAGCUGCGUUCAGCCAUGGCUUCCUUGUUUUGAGUCUAUUGAGUGUGUUUCUUAUUCUGCUGGAGUUGACCUAGUAUUUUAUAUUAAACCUACCUUACAUAUCCA